ACUAGAGCCCGAUGACUGAAUUCACACCCCGUUUCCAGGCUGAAUUUUUAGCUAUAAAAAUCACCACUCACGGUAGUGCUUGGGUUACAAACUGGGCUGUUUUCAUUCAAGACACAUCCUUUGCUCUUUAUUCCAUUCCUCACGUCACUCAGUGGCAAACUAUUUAACGCAACAUAAUUCACCUGUCUAAAGCACCUAAAAGCCAAGUACCUGACUCUGAUGUGUACCCCAGACAGGAGCAGGGUCCCCCCGCGACACAAACCCAAGCCGAGCUCCGGUGCAGCAGCAGAGGCCGACCUAGGGCUGAGCGGGCAGCACCGAACAGACUGCCGGGGCUGCUGCUCCGGCCUGACGGGAUCACGGGCGUGAUGGAUGUUGGCGCUGCAGCUGCUCGUGCUUUUGGACAAGUCACUGAACAUCUCUGAACUGUUGUUUUGGUUUUUAUUUUUAUUUUGUAAGAGAAAAUUAAAUGUCCAAAGCCACGCUCGCCCAUCCCGGUAAAGAAUACCACACAUACAGAUAGCCCGAGUUCCGCUGCUCGCCCCCCUUCGCCCGCCCCCGGCCGCCUUCAUCUGCCCACAGCGCAGCCGGGCCUCGCCAUGCGGCGCAGCGCCCGGCCCGCGCGGCACCGCGAAAUGGCGGACCGCCCCUCCAGCCGUGCCUCCUACCGCCUUCCCCAGCUUCCAGCUCGCGGCAGCGGCGGGAGGAUGAUCCGGCCCCCCUGCGGGCGGCGGGGCGGGGCGGGGAUGGGAUAGAGCAGGAGCGGCUCUGCAGGACCGCCACGGCACCACCCGACAUGGCGGCGAUGGCUGCCCCUCAGCGCGGGCGAGCAGGGCGGGCCCGGGGCGGGGCCUGCGGAGCCCAUAAAGCGCCUCGCGCGGGCCCUCGCGGCCUCUUUCUCCGCAGCGGCCGAGGUGCGUAGAGGUACUGGUGGGCUGGGCGGAUCUGGGAUUCCCCUCUGCCCCUUCCUGGGUGGGUGGCCGGGCCUCUGCGGGCGGCCCGGGGCGUCUCCGUGCCCGCCCGCCCGACCGCUGAGGCAUCCGCCCGUUCCGUGUGAUCGCCUCGCUCCCGCUCGGCCUCGGGUCUUAUCCCCAAGGGCCCCUCACCGGGCUCCGGCCGCUCUUCCCUGGAAGGUCACACGGAGCUUCCCCGGACGUGUCCAGGCGUUCGCUGGUAGAGGUGAUGACUCUUUCCCCGUCAGAGCGACAGUGUUGACUACCGCUGUCCAAGCCAGGGCGCGGCAGAGCCCAAGGCGCCGGCGGGAGCCCCGUGCCCCACGCCAGGCCGGCGAUGAGGGCACUUCCGCGGCGUGCGCCGGCAGGCCCGAGCCCCUGCCAGGGCCCAGCGGGCACUGUGAAGGCAGAAGUGGGGCUGAGCCUUGGGGAGACCUGAAGUUAAGGCUGCAGCUGACAGUGAAGAAGUGUGUGAUGUGAGCAGUUGUCUGGUUUGCUCCACCAUGUGUGCCCCUGUGCCAGGGGAGAAUGGUUGAGACUUAUAAGAAGUUGUCCUGGGCCCUCCGGGGGUUUCAGUGCUCUGCUAAAGAAGAUGGAUGGUUCUGCUGCUCCCAUGCUGCUGCCUGGGAUCCUCAUCCAAGCCACAGCAUUCACAUCACCCUGCGACAGCUCUGGUCUUUCCUCAGAGCUGUCAGGCGUGAUGAAUUUGUCUCCUGCCAACAGAUAGAGGGUGUUACAUUUUUUGUCCCCUGGGUACAAGGCAUGUAACUGGAAUGUAUGCUGGAACUUGCUGCAUGUUUAAUGCAGUUGGAUGCUUUUGUCUGCAGGGGCUGCAUUCCUUGCCUGGAAUGUUAUCCUGCCACAGUCAUUAAAGGCAAGGAAAAUGCUCCUUGGAGCAGUUGUCAGGUUGGGAGGAUGGCCUUGUGUGUAAGGAAAGGAGUCAGGGCUUGAUUCUCCCCUGCCAAUCCAGAAAGCUUUAGUGGUGUAUCCCUGGCAGUCUGUGAAGAGGGCAAGGGGUGUCUGGAUGCUGCAGCACAGUGUGUUUCUGUACUGUUGAGAGCCUGUUUUUAAUAAAAUCUGAGCACUGGGUGAAUUUGGCUGGUGACUGAAAUUCUCUUGACCCACGUUUAACAGCUCAUUCCUGGAUCUCCCAAUUGUUUGGGGAGUUGGAGAGCACAGCAACAGUGUGCUGCUGUGAGUGAUAAUGGAGCUGCCUGCUGCCUCAAGCCAGGAGAUGAGGCAUGAUCUCAUGGAACAGAGCUCCACACACCCUGGAGUAGAAGUGCUUGGCUGAGGCUGUGGCUGCUGCUGUGCUGCAGGUAUCACGAGGGCAGGCUGUGCUCAGCCACUGGACAAGGGUGGUCCCUCAGUUAAAUAAAACAGUUCCAGUGGUUUUGGGAGGGGACUUUUUGAUGUCUGAGCUGACAGUGGCCUUUGCCAUGUAUGCUUGUUAGGAAACAGCAAUGAUGGAAAGUCGACUACUAUUCAGCAUUCAAAGGAGUCUUCAAUUUAAUUGAAUCGAGAUUUUUCUCAUUCAAUUAAUGUAAGCAGUGUGAUCUCUUGAAACUACAUAUUGAUGAGGGACCAGAACUGCUGCUAGUAUAAUUACUUCAUUAAUGUAAUGAGCAGACCUACCAGCAAACAUCCUGUAGGGAGGAGAGAGUGCUGCUUGUCCAGUGGGAGCUGGAGGCACAGAUGCAGCUUAAACAUGUUCUUGGCAUGUUUUACUACCUCUGCAAGAACAGUUGCUCAGGUCGGGUUUCAGACUGUUGCUAUUGCACGCACGCAUCAGGAUGCAAUUUCAAACUGUUGGUAGGGUGCUAAUCCCAGGCAGCCCCUGACUGCUGGGGGCAGGGUCUGGGUUCCUGGGAGCUCGGUUUGGGUUCCUGGGGGCGCAGGGUCUGGGUUCCUGGGGGCGCAGGGUCUGGGUUCCUGGGGGGCAGAGUCUGGGUUCCUGGGAGCUGGGUCUGGGUUCCUGGGAGCUGGGUCUGGGUUCCUGGGGGGCAGGGUCUGGGUUCCUGGGGGCGCAGGGUCUGGGUUCCUGGGGGGCAGAGUUUGGGUUCCUGG
rnacentral:lncRNA from 1 species